CCCUUAGAUGUUCUGGGCCGCACGCGUGCUACACUGAGUGGAUCAGCGGGUCAAGUUGCGCGAAAGCGUUUCCUAAUCUUGAAAUCCGCUCGUGAUGGGGAUUGACGGUUGCAAUUUUCUGUCAUGAACGAGGAAUACCUUGUAAGCGCGAGUCAUCAUCCCGCGCUGAAUACGUCCCUGCCCUUUGUACACACCGCCCGUCGCUCCUACCGAUUGAGUGGUCCGGUGAGGCUUUGGGAUCUGAGCGGAAAGAGCGUUUCGCUCGUUUUGCCCGGAAAACUCAGUCGAACCUUAUCAUUUAGAGGAAGGAGAAGUCGUAACA
rnacentral:rRNA from 1 species